CCGCUUGCUUCUGCCGGUGGCUCCCCUCUCCUUGGGAUGACCGUGUCUUUCCGGGCGCGGGGCGCCUCACCCCUGGGCCCCCCCCCUCACUCCUAUCAGCUGAAAAUGGCCCAGCUGUUUACUUUCCGUGGGAAUCCAGAACGAGGCACCUUUACACAGAGCCUGCUUUGUUCCACGCUGGCAGAGAAGUACACACAACCUCACUCUUAGGCUGCUGCCAGUGGCGUCCAGGAAUCUGAAUUUUGUUUUGUUUUUCCUUUUUCCCCUCCCCAGUACUGGGUAUUAAACCCAGGGCCCUUGCCCGGAGCUACGUACUCAGCCCUUAUUAUUUUUGUCUCUAGGCAGGCUCUUGCUAAGUUGCUAAGUUGCCCAGGCUGGGCUUAAACUUGGGAUCCUCCUGCCUCAGCCUUCCAGAGUGCUGGGAUGGAUGACAGGCAUCGAACUCAGGACCUUGAGCUUGUGAGGCAGACUGUGGUACCACUGAGCUAAAUCUCCAGCCCUGUUUUGUGGUGCUUUUGAGACAGGGUCUUGCUAUGUAGUUCAGGCUGUCCUUGAACUCAUUAUGUAGCCUGGGCUGCCCCGGAAUUUGCAGUGAUCCUCCUGCCUCAGCCUCCCAAGUGCUAGGACUUAAAGUGUGCGCCACCUUGCCCGGCAACUUUUCUUUGAAGAUCUCUUAAAGAUAGGUCUCCCCGGGUCGCCCUCCUGCGUGUGGACCUGGGCACAGUGAUAAAUAGGAGUCGCUGGGCGAGCAGGAGGCAGCCAUCUGGAACAUGUCGCCACCAGCCCCAGCCUCUGCUGCCCACAUUCGCUCCCUCCCGUG
rnacentral:lncRNA from 1 species